GAUGAAGAACGUAGCGAAAUGCGAUAAGUAAUGUGAAUUGCAGAAUUCAGUGAAUCAUCGAAUCUUUGAACGCACAUUGCGCCCGCCAGUAUUCUGGCGGGCAUGCCUGUCUGAGCGUGAUUUCAACCCUCAUGCCCCUAGGGCGUGGUGUUGGGGAUCGGCCAAAGCCCGCGAGGGACGGCCGGCCCCUAAAUCUAGUGGCGGACCCGUCGUGGCCUCCUCUGCGAAGUAGUGAUAUUCCGCAUCGGAGAGCGAUGAGCCCCUGCCGUUAAACCCCCAACUUUCCAAGGUUGACCUCAGAUCAGGUAGGAAUACCCGCUGAACUUAAGCAUAUCAAUAAGCGGAGGA
rnacentral:misc_RNA from 1 species